rnacentral:rRNA from 1 species
GACGAACGCUGGCGGCGUGCCUAAUACAUGCAAGUCGAACGCAGUGGGGACGGGUGAGUAACACGUGGGUAACCUCCCAUCAGAGGGGAUAACACUUGGAAACAGGUGCUAAACCGAUACUGAUGGAUGGACCCGGGGUGCAUUAGCUAGUUGGUGGGGUAACGGCGCACCAAGGCCACGAUGCAUAGCCAGCCUGGAAGGAGGCUCAGCCACACUGGGACGGAGACACGGCCCAGACUCCUACGGGAGGCAGCAGUAGGGAAUCUUCGGCAAUGGACGAAAGUCUGACCGAGCAACGCCGCGUGAGUGAAGAAGGUUUUCGGAGCGUAAAGCUCUGUUGUUAGAGAAGCGGUAUCUAACCAGAAAGCCACGGCUAACUACGUGCCAGCCGCCGCGGUAAUAC